GGGUGAGUAAUACAUCGGAACGUGCCCGAUCGUGGGGGAUAACGAAGCGAAAGCUUUGCUAAUACCGCAUACGAUCUACGGAUGAAAGCAGGGGACCGCAAGGCCUUGCGCGAACGGAGCGGCCGAUGGCAGAUUAGGUAGUCGGUGGGAUAAAAGCUUACCAAGCCGACGAUCUGUAGCUGGUCUGAGAGGACGACCAGCCACACUGGGACUGAGACACGGCCCAGACUCCUACGGGAGGCAGCAGUGGGGAAUUUUGGACAAUGGGCGAAAGCCUGAUCCAGCCAUGCCGCGUGCAGGAUGAAGGCCUUCGGGUUGUAAACUGCUUUUGUACGGAACGAAAAGACUCUGGUUAAUACCUGGGGUCCAUGACGGUACCGUAAGAAUAAGCACCGGCUAACUACGUGCCAGCAGCCGCGGUAAUACGUAGGGUGCAAGCGUUAAUCGGAAUUACUGGGCGUAAAGCGUGCGCAGGCGGUUAUAUAAGACAGAUGUGAAAUCCCCGGGCUCAACCUGGGAACUGCAUUUGUGACUGUAUAGCUAGAGUACGGCAGAGGGGGAUGGAAUUCCGCGUGUAGCAGUGAAAUGCGUAGAUAUGCGGAGGACACCGAUGGCGAAGGCAAUCCCCUGGGCCUGUACUGACGCUCAUGCACGAAG
rnacentral:rRNA from 1 species